AUGCACGCUGGCGGCGUGCCUAAUACAUGCAAGUCGAGCGAACGGACGAGAAGCUUGCUUCUCUGGUGUUAGCGGCGGACGGGUGAGUAACACGUGGAUAACCUACCUAUAAGACUGGGAUAACUUCGGGAAACCGGAGCUAAUACCGGAUGAUAUUUUGAACCGCAUGGUUCAAAAGUGAAAGACGGUCUUGCUGUCACUUAUAGAUGGAUCCGCGCUGCAUUAGCUAGUUGGUAAGGUAACGGCUUACCAAGGCAACGAUGCAUAGCCGACCUGAGAGGGUGAUCGGCCACACUGGAACUGAGACACGGUCCAGACUCCUACGGGAGGCAGCAGUAGGGAAUCUUCCGCAAUGGGCGAAAGCCUGACGGAGCAACGCCGCGUGAGUGAUGAAGGUCUUCGGAUCGUAAAACUCUGUUAUUAGGGAAGAACAUAUGUGUAAGUAACUGUGCACAUCUUGACGGUACCUAAUCAGAAAGCCACGGCUAACUACGUG
rnacentral:rRNA from 1 species